CCAGCCAAAGCAGUGGUAAACAACCCAUUACAGGCUAAAAUUGCUGGCAGGGGCUGUGGGGGAACUGUUUUUCUCAUUAAUAAAAAAAAAAAAAAAAAGCAGAAAAUAAAAAACAGAACAUCCUAACCCUCAAAGGCUGCUUGCAAGGACGGAAGGAGAAGUGAUAGUCACCGAAUCAGAUAUUCCUUAUGAACUGUCUGCUCGGCUGCGGUAUCUAAAGAUUAUCACUUAAAACAAUAUGUCCAGCUGUUGUACAAAGCAUCCGCGGCGGAGGGCUGAGGAAUGGAAGGAUCCGCGCCGCGGCGGCACGCUGGGAGAGCAGUCAAGGGAACAGAGAAACUCUUCGGCAAGCGGGGAGGAUGCUGCAUUCUGCAAAACGUGCUCUGCUGGCGACGGUCUGCACUCAGCAGGGCUCGAGCUCUCCGUAUGGACCACAGGAACCGGUGGCAUUGCCACCAAGAUGGGGACAGGUCCUCCACCCAGCCCCAGCGGUGCCGGCAUCUGCGUUUGGGCACCAGCAUCUUUGCACGGGGCUGGCGUGGAGAGAGCCCCCGGCACCCUUCAGCGGCUGCAGAGGCUCAGGGAAAUUAGCGGGCACUGUAAUUAUAACUAUCGGGAGCAGCUAAGACAAGUUAAAUACCAGCUACCUAGGGAGAAAUUAUUAUGCCAGCCAGGAGGAUCCAAAUGCCAGAAUCCGUGGCUGUAAUUUCACGGAGUCGCCAAUUACAGCUCCGACAUGCCGCGAGCUCUACCUUGGAGACGGCAGGUAUAUAUUUAGCUGCUCCAGAAAACUUUUUGGGGGAGGAGGAGGAGGAAGGGGGCAGCGAUGGAGCAAGUCCUCAGUAAUCUGCUCCUCGCUGAGCCCCACGCUUCUCGCAUUUGCACACAAAAAGCAGCAGUCUCUUCCCACUUCCCAGCGAGGAUUUAGCAGCAGCGAGUUCACAACCCCCAUAAACAGGUAGGGAAACUGAGGACCGAGCCUACAUGUGAUGACAAUAGGGAAAACGGGCCAAAAAAUCUGAUUUCCUGACUUUCCAGGCAAUGCCCAGAGUCCUGCUGCCUGCUCCUGCUGGUUGUAUUUUCCCGAGGCCUCGUCGUGUGCUGCGAGAUAGACUGCGGUAGAUUAUUACCCAAAAAAAAAACCAUUGUCAGAAAUAAUUAAAACUAUAAUUGCAAAAAUAAAUGGAAGAACAGCAUCUCA